UCGUCUGCCCCCCGACGGCAGCCCCCUGCAGAGCUUCCCCGCCAGCCCCGCGGCCACCCCGCCGCCUGCGCCCGCCGCCAGGAACAAGGUCGCCCACUUCUCGCGGCAGGUGUCGGUGGACGAGGAGCGGGGUGGGGACAUCCAGAUGCUCCUGGAGGGCCGGGCCGGGGACUGCGCCCGCAGCAGCUGGGGCGAGGAGCAGGCGGGGGGCUCCAGGGGCGUCCGCACCGGUGCCCUGCGUGGCGGCCUGCCCGUGGACGACCUCCGCACCCGAGGUUCGGGCCGCAAGCAGCCCGGGAACCCCAAGCCGCGGGAGCGGCGGACGGAGGCGCCCCCGGUGUUCACGUGGACUUCCCACCACCGGGUCAGCAACCACAGCCCCGCGGGCGUCAGGCUGCUGGAGCUGCAGGAGGAGAAGCUGAGCAACUACCGGAUGGAGAUGAAGCCCCUGCUGAGGAUGGAGACGCACCCCCAGAAAAGACGCUACGGCAAGGGCGGCGCCUGCCGGGGCUCCGGGGACGACCACCGCCCCGAGGACCGGGGCUUCGCGGUGCAGAGACUGCGGUCCAAGGCCCAGAACAAGGAGAACUUCAGGCCGGCCUCCUCCGCGGAGCCCGCGGUGCAGAAACUGGCGAGCCUGCGGCUGGGCGGGGCCGAGCCCCGGCUGCUGCGCUGGGACUUGACCUUCUCCCCGCCCCAGAGGUCCUUGCCUGUCGCUCUGGAGUCCGACGAGGAGAAUGGGGAUGAGCUCAAGUCCAGUACGGUGAGUGGGCGGCCACCGGGCUGAUGCCAGUGGCGGCGACAUCUGCCUCUCC